rnacentral:rRNA from 1 species
GAUGAACGCUGGCGGCGUGCUUAACACAUGCAAGUCGAACGAAGCACUUUGGACAGAUUCUUCGGAUGAAGUCCUUAGUGACUGAGUGGCGGACGGGUGAGUAACGCGUGGGUAACCUGCCUCAUACAGGGGGAUAACAGUUAGAAAUGGCUGCUAAUACCGCAUAAGCGCACGGUACUGCAUGGUACAGUGUGAAAAACUCCGGUGUAUGAGAUGGACCCGCGUUGAUUAGCUAGUGCAGGUACGCUACCAGCGACGAUCCAUAGCCGGCCUGAGAGGGUGGACGGCCACGAUUGGGACUGAGACACGGGCCCAGACUCCGUACGGGAGGCAGC